rnacentral:rRNA from 1 species
AUUGAACGCUGGCGGCAGGCCUAACACAUGCAAGUCGAACGAGUGGCGGACGGGUGAGUAAUGUCUGGGAAACUGCCUGAUGGAGGGGGCUAACUACUGGAAACGGUAGCUAAUACCGCAUACCAUCAGAUGUGCCCAGAUGUGAUUAGCUUGUGUGGGGGGGAACGGCUCACCAAGGCGACGAUCCCUAGCUGGUCUGAGAGGAUGACCAGCCACACUGGAACUGAGACACGGGCCAGACGCCUACGGGAGGCAGCAGGGGGUAAGAUUGCACAAUGGGCGCAAGCCUGAUGCAGCCAUGCCGCGUGUAGGAAGAAGUCCUUCGGGUUGUAAAGUACUUUCAGCGGGGAGGCGUUACCCGAAGAAGAAGCACCGGCUAACUCCGUGCCAGCCGCCGCGGUAAUUC